rnacentral:rRNA from 1 species
UAACGCGAAGAACCUUACCAGGGCUUGACAUCCUACUAACGAACCAGAGAUGGAUUAGGUGCCCUUCGGGGAAAGUAGAGACAGGUGGUGCAUGGUUGUCGUCAGCUCGUGUCGUGAGAUGUUGGGUUAAGUCCCGCAACGAGCGCAACCCCUAUUGUUAGUUGCUACGCAAGAGCACUCUAGCGAGACUGCCGUUGACAAAACGGAGGAAGGUGGGGACGACGUCAAAUCAUCAUGCCCCUCACGUCCUGGGCCACACACGUACUACAAUGGCGGCCAACAAAGAGAGGCAAAGCCGCGAGGUGGAGCAAAUCUCAAAAAGCCGUCCCAGUUCGGAUCGCAGGCUGCAACCCGCCUGCGUGAAGUUGGAAUCGCUAGUAAUCGCGGAUCAGCAUGCCGCGGUGAAUACGUU